CUCUCCUGAAGCUGGGCCAUCCUUCUUCUUCUGACCUUGGACAUCAGAACUGCAGGCUCCCUGGCCUUUGGACUCUGGGUCUUACAUUAGCAGCCCCCAGGUUCUUGGCCUUUGGCCUUGGACUGAGAAUUACACUAUCAGCUGCCCUGGUUCUGAGACUUUAGGACUUGAACUGAGCCCCACUGUGGUAUUCCACGGUCUCCAGCUUACAGACAGUCUGUCGUGGGACUUUUCACCUCCCUAAUCUCAUGAGCCAAUUCCCCUAAUAAAUCCCCUCUCAUAUAUCUAUAUACAGUCGCCCCUCAUAUCUAUGGGAGAUGGGUUCCAGGUUAUGUUGCCCAGGCUGGCCUUGAACUCUUGGGCUCAAGCUAUCCUCCCAUCUCAGCUUCCCAAGUAGCUAGGACUAUCAUAUUCUUUUUUUUUUUUUUUUUUUGAGACGGAGUCUCGCUCUGUCACCCAGGCUGGAGUGCAGUGGUGCGAUCUCGGCUCACUGCAAGCUCUGCCUCCCGGGUUCAUGCCAUUCUCCUGCCUCAGCCUCCUGAGUAGCUGGGACUACAGGCGCCCACCACCACACCCAGCUAAUUUUUUUUUUUUUUGUAUUUUUAGUAGAGACGGGGUUUCACCAUGUUAGCCAGGAUGGUCUCGAUCUCCUGACCUCGUGAUCUGACCGCCUCGGCCUCCCAAAGUGCUGGGAUUACAGGCAUGCGCCACUGUGCCCGGCCCAUAUUCUUUUUUUUUUUUUUUUUU
rnacentral:lncRNA from 1 species